GGCAGACGGGUGAGUAACAUGUAGGUAUCUACCCUUUGGCCUGGAAUAACACGAGGAAACUUGUGCUAAUACCGGAUAAGUCUUUACGGAGAAAGCUUUAUGCACCAUUGGAUGAGCCUGCACUUGAUUAGUUUGUUGGUGGGGUAAUGGCCUACCAAGACUGUGAUCAAUAGCUGAUUUGAGAGGAUGAUCAGCCACAUUGGGACUGAGACACGGCCCAAACUCCUACGGGAGGCAGCAGUGGGGAAUCUUGCACAAUGGAGGAAACUCUGAUGCAGCGAUGCCGCGUGAGUGAAGAAGGCCUUUGGGUUGUAAAGCUCUUUCGUCGGGGAAGAAAAUGACUGUACCCGAAUAAGAAGGUCCGGCUAACUUCGUGCCAGCAGCCGCGGUAAUACGAAGGGACCUAGCGUAGUUCGGAAUUACUGGGCUUAAAGAGUUCGUAGGUGGUUGAAAAAGUUAGUGGUGAAAUCCCAAAGCUUAACUCUGGAACUGCCAUUAAAACUUUUCAGCUAGAGUAUGAUAGAGGAAAGCAGAAUUUCUAGUGUAGAGGUGAAAUUCGUAGAUAUUAGAAAGAAUACCAAUUGCGAAGGCAGCUUUCUGGAUCAUUACUGACACUGAGGAACGAAAGCAUGGGUAGCGAAGAGGAUUAGAUACCCUCGUAGUCCAUGCCGUAAACGAUGUGUGUUAGACGUUGGAAAUUUAUUUUCAGUGUCGCAGCGAAAGCGAUAAACACAC
rnacentral:rRNA from 1 species